UACACUAAAACAUUUCCGGCCAUUCGUCUCAUUGCUUUCUUCUUCUUUCUUCUUUGAACGCGCAGGUGCUUGGAGUUUUGCUUGGUUUGUCGAAACCUGUUGCUUUGUUUUUCCUUCAAUCGGGUCUACGGUGGGUCAGUCCAGCCUCUGUCCUUCACUACUUGCCUUGCUACCUUUUCCGGUUGAAAUCCUUUGCUAGCUGUUGGGCUUCCCAAAUGAACGCACUUAUUUCAGAAUAAUCCAAUUUGGGUGUGGCUAGCUUCUUCAUCACAGAUCUUGAGUCCCCUUCCAGAAUUACUCGUCUGAAGCCUAAAUUGAGGGCUAGUUGGAGUGCAUGUCCUGCUGCGAUGGACUCUGUUGCAAAUGCGGAUGGUACUCUCAAGGUCUUCUGGUGGUGGGUUCCAUCUAACGUCGCUUACGCGCACAGAGUCGUGGAUUCUGUUGUUUGCUAUGUUGAAUUGUUGGCAAUGACGUUUAAUAAACAUGACGUUUCUUCUGCUCGGAAGUUCUUCCUUCAUUCAUUCUUUGUUUCGUGCAUAACAUAGGGCCCAUAUGGUAACUAGUACUUCACUGUGUUUUUUUAGGUGGGAGAUUGGCCAACAACCAACCAAGUCAUUUUUUGAAGUUCCAGUUCAAGCUCUGCGAUGACCAUUGGGUUUGUUGAUGAGUUUGUAUCUUCAUCCCUUAGCUAAGGGCUGGCAUGGACUGACCUUUGACGGUGGGGUACUUUAAGCGAAGCGUCCCAUGUAGGUAGUAGAUCCUUGUGUGUUAGUCGUAGUGGGCAGAAAUCUUCACCAUGGCCUAGUUUCCCACAGAGGUCACCCAUGCUUAAUGGAUUGGUUUUGAUUUCAAAAUUUAUUGCAUCUUGUGGUUCUCUAAGGAGUUCAAAACUUAAAAAGGCAAAAACCUUAGUUACAGCCAGUCGGCCGAGAGAGUAAAGGAUCAUUGUGGAGAUGCCCCAGAAGUCUGAAUCUAUGACUCCAAACAGUGCUGCCCAAUACGCAGAACAUGUUCUUUGCUAUGGAGGAAUGAAUAUGUCUGUAACAGUGGUAUUCUCGGCUGAGUCGACACUUCACCAUAUCCUUAACUGGGCAAGAUGCUAUGACGCUUAUAUACCAUGCUUGAAUGUAAUUCCGGAGUCGAUUGUGUCAGAACAUCAAUGGAUCAAGUCUCUACCAGGAUGGUCGUGCCAACUUUAUUUGGUUCGAGUCAUUACUGGUCUGCACUUUCAGGUGGUUCGGCUUGAUUCCCCUC